rnacentral:snRNA from 1 species
GGAUGUGAGGGCGGUCUGGCUGCGACAUCUGUCACCCCAUCGAUUGCCAGGGUUGAUUCGGCUGAUCUGGCUGGCUAGGCGGGUGUCCCCUUCCUCCCUCACCGCUCCAUGUGCAUCCCUCCCGAAGCUGCGCGCUUGGUCGAAGAGGACGACCUUCCCGGCUAGAGGAGGACCGGUCUCCGGUCAAGGGUAUAUUGAGUAGCUGUGCUCCCCUGCUAGAACCUCCAAACAAGCUCUCAAGAGUUCUCCAAAUGUGUGCUGAGAUAGGUUUUUGACAGUGCAAACUUAAUCCUGGUACAAUAAAUAUUUUCGUAGUCAG